rnacentral:lncRNA from 1 species
AGGAAGAGUCCUUCUGUGUGAAGGCUCUCUUGCACCAUAAUUCCACAUGGUGAAUUUAUUCACCACAUGAGAAAAUGGAGUGCCAAAGGAUGGUGCCCCUUGAUCCCAUGACACGUCCCUUGGUCCCUUAUUUAAAGGGGAUGUCGCACAUCGCUUUGCUGUUAUGUUUUUAGGUUGAAACUAGAGAUAAGGGGUGUGAGAGUCAUAAAAAAAUUUUGGAAAAAAUUUGAGAAAAAAGCGAAAAAAAAUUGAGUGGCAAAAGUUACAAGAAGGGUGGUGAGAUUUUUAGCAAGUGUUGCUAGUGUACCCUAAGAUUUGAUUUUUUCAUGUGUUGGAGCCAAAAAUCAAAUCCUAAGUUGUAAGACAUCUGAAGAGUGUUUUCUUGGUAUCAUUCUGGUGGCAAGAUCGGAAGCAACUGGACUUUAAUGCAAUCAUUUUUAGAGUUCGAAGCCGGCAGUAUUCUUGAGAAGAAAAGGUUGUGGCAGUGCACC